rnacentral:tRNA from 1 species
UUUAGCUCAGUCAGUAGAGCAUGAGACUCUGAAUCUCAGGGUCUUGUGUUUGAGCCCCACGUUGGGCAAAA